rnacentral:rRNA from 1 species
GCCUACAGCCAUGCCACCCUGAACAAGCCCGAUCCAGUCUGAUCUCAGAAGCUAAGCAGGGUCGGGCCUGGUUAGUACUUGGAUGGGAGACCACCUAGGAAGAUCAGGUGCUGUAGACA